rfam:Ictidomys tridecemlineatus contig002276, whole genome shotgun sequence.
UUAAAAGUAAUUAAUUAAAGGAUCUUUUAAAGAAUGGGCCCAGGGGAUCCAAUGUGCAAUGACUGCAAACAGCAAUCUCCCCAAUGGUUUAUAAAGCCUGCUGCUUGUACAGGUUGCCCAGGGGACCUUGGAGGCAGCA